rnacentral:rRNA from 1 species
UACGUAGGUGGCAAGCGUUAUCCGGAAUUAUUGGGCGUAAAGCGCGCGCAGGCGGUUCCUUAAGUCUGAUGUGAAAGCCCACGGCUCAACCGUGGAGGGUCAUUGGAAACUGGGGAACUUGAAUGCAGAAGAGGAAAGCGGAAUUCCAAGUGUAGCGGUGAAAUGCGUAGAGAUUUGGAGGAACACCAGUGGCGAAGGCGGCUUUCUGGUCUGUAAUUGACGCUGAGGCGCGAAAGCGUGGGGAGCAAACAGG